rnacentral:rRNA from 1 species
GUUUGAUCCUGGCUCAGGAUGAACGCUGGCGGCGUGCCUAAUACAUGCAAGUCGAGCGAAUGGAUUAAGAGCUUGCUCUUAUGAAGUUAGCGGCGGACGGGUGAGUAACACGUGGGUAACCUGCCCAUAAGACUGGGAUAACUCCGGGAAACCGGGGCUAAUACCGGAUAACAUUUUGAACCGCA